rnacentral:rRNA from 1 species
UACGUAGGUGGCAAGCGUUGUCCGGAUUUAUUGGGCGUAAAGGGUGCGUAGGCGGCCUUUUAAGUCUGAUGUGAAAGCCCCCGGCUCAACCGGGGAGGGUCAUUGGAAACUGGGAAACUUGAGUGCAGAAGAGGAGAGUGGAAUUCCAUGUGUAGCGGUGAAAUGCGUAGAAAUAUGGAGGAACACCAGUGGCGAAGGCGGCUCUCUGGUCUGUAACUGACGCUGAGGCUCGAAAGCGUGGGGAGCAAACAGGAUUAGAUACCCUGGUAGUCCACGCCGUAAACGAUGAGUGCUAAGUGUUGGAGGGUUUCCGCCCUUCAGUGCUGCAGCAAACGCAUUAAGCACUCCGCCUGGGGAGUACGACCGCAAGGUUGAA